UGGACGAAUUACAACUAGAGGACUACUCAAUAUAUCGUCUCUGAGAACUACGAAUACUGGCGCCAAAAGUAGACUGGUGUAGCACCAGAGGAUAAAAAUUUGAGCACGUGGGCUUGUGAUAAUAAAUAUUUAAUAUUUAAAAAGAGAGGGGGAAGAGGCAAAAUGACCUACAAUAAAAAUAAGUGACAGACCCUCUAAGAUUUAAAUAACUAAUUAUAAAAAUACAUCAGACUGAUGAUACGUAAUUUUGGAUUAAUUUGGUCCUUCAGAGAGUGGAAUAUAAUACAGAAAAAAAUAAUUAUUUACAAGCAAGUGGAAAAAAUAAUAAAGUGUCUGAUAUGAGAACGUACUUGCUGCACAAUAAAUAUUUAGUAGUUUCGGAAUUCACCGCUAGGAUACUUAUAAGCGCACAGAUUGUUCCUCCACAGACACAUAUGAUCCACCUUUUAUCUUCCAAUCGAAUGCAAGUUCCUGGCGACCAACUAAUGAGAUUUUUUAAAUUUCUUACUCAGAAGAUUACUAAUAAAUAACAUGAAUAUGCUAUCAUAAAUAAGUAUAAGAUAAGAUAUAAUAAACUUGAAGUGUAAAAUUUUCAAUAGAAAAUGGGAACCUAAUGACUACUACAUGAAUGUACAACUCUUUGUAAUGUUACUUUAAAAGACAUAAAUAAAAAGAAUUUCAAAAGCAAAAACAGCAAUUAAAGGUCAUGAGGCACUCUGCUUGGGUGGUAUAGAACCGUAUGGUUCGUAAGUAAUAAUUACUCAAUUUCUUUCUUGUCUGUCAUCUAAUUUACCAUUUGUGUUUAUUGGGUUUUUCUGUUAAAUAAAGAAAAUUUGUUCUUCAAUUUUGUGCAUAGAGCAAAUUCAUUCAAAGUUUCCUUACAAUGACUACUAUAGAUAUGAAAGAUAAUUUUCUAUGAUAAUGACUAUCACGGCAAUCUAUAAUAUAUCCGAUGAUUAUUUGAUC